AGAAAUUUGGGGAAAACUAUAAAGGAAACACGACUCCGCGCAGGCCUGCCUGUCCCGCAGCUGCGGCGCUCUCGCUGGCAGUUCUUUCCGGCCCGUUGAGCCAGUUCCUCUCCGGGGGUGUGGCUUUAGCAGAGCCCCGGCUAACCACCCUCCCUCGGUUCCAUGUGCAGCCGGAGCGCUCCGUGAUGUAAUUUCUUUACGCGGUCCUGAGGGGGGCCUUCGGGGCUGGGGAGUGUUCCUGUGGUGAGUCAUGCGUGGUGAGCACCUCUGGGGCGUCCCUGGGGGCCCCGGUUUCUGUCACCUCCUUAGGCUGGAUCCGGGGACAGCAGGCCACCUUUCGCAAUCUUUCCAAAGGGUGGAGGUGUCCACGAAGCCUCUGAGCACAGAGGCUCAUCCUCUGCCGUCUGGUGGCGGCUCCCCCUGCGUCCCUCGCCCCCAGGCUCCCGCCUGCAAACCCCCAACCCGCGGAGCUCGGCCAACGCCGCAAACACCUGUCGAGGCCUAACUCGUUCUUUCUUAACCACUGCGUGGUGUGGUCUAGAGCAUCAGGGGACCUUAUGGGGACCUUCGGGUGGUCUCUCGUGCUCAUCUGAUCCCAUCGCCACUGUGAACAGAGCCGCGGUGCGCGCCCUUGAACGUCUGGCUUUGCGAACCGAGACUCCGGCUCCUGCAGGACGGGUUCUGGACUUUCGAAGCGUGCAACGUGGCCUGUCCUGCGACACAUGUGCGCUUGUCUCCGUGCGGACACCCUCCCUGCUCACCUCCCCCUCCUCCCGGCAAGAAGCAGCUGUGUCGGCUUCCCGCCAGGGAACCCCCCACCACGCCGGGGCCGGGGGGUGCUGAGGUCCCUGCCUUGAACAAAGGUCACAAAGGAGGGGGUGGGUCCUGGCACCACCCCUCCCUGCUGCCCCCUGUCUUCAAACCCCAAAGCUCUCUCCACAGUGGUUGGAAGUGGCGCUGGGUGGGGCACAGGGUGCAUCCCAGGAGGGGAGCGGCCCCUCGGGGGGGGGGCUGAGUUAAGCUGAGCAGAGGCCUUCCGCUGACCUGCGAGGACACGGACAUGGAAUGUGGAGCUGGAGGUGCGGGGCGCUGACCCCGCGUCUAAGCUGCGUGAUCACGGAACUCCCGGUUCGGCUGUGGGCUGGAGCGAAGGGAGGCUCUCACGAGAAAGGGUUUGCAUGGCUGGGCUGGGCUGGGCUGGGCCCCCGCACCCUUUCUGAGGAACCUGAGGCUGGCGUGCUGGGAAGUCCAAGCAGGGUGAAGAGACGGAAAACCCACCCCUGACCAGUCACAGGCAAACCGGUGACAUCAAAGACAGGGGCUUAGCCUCAGUCAGGGACAUGCAUCACCUCGGAGGAGGCCACGUUUAGACUGGAGUGGACAUUCCCACAAAAAGAGUGGGACCUGGAAGACAAGCGAAUGGUGUCACGUGGGCUGAAAGGAAAUAGUUGCCUCCCCAGAGCCCCGCCGGGCAAGGAUGGCGCCUGAGGUCGCGACUGAGUAAGAAUGACUGACUUGUCACCUGCAGCCGCCCGUCCAGGGAACCAUGAAAGGACAUUCUUUACCUGGAAAGACAACGACCGUAGGUGGAAACUCAGAUGGAGGGAGCGGCAGAGGCGAGCAGGUGGAUGCUGUGUAAGGGAGCCCAGCAUCUGUGGGACUUCAGUCUGCAGACUUCAGCGGUACCGGGACGAGCGCCUGCGCUGAGAGGGAGGCGAGGGUUCUGAGAUCCCCGGGCUGCGCAAGAGAAGGCGGCGGCGCCCGUCCCAUCAGGCCAGGAUUCGCACCGAGGUCCCCAGUGUGAACACUAAAAGAGCGGCAGAAGUGCCGCCAGCGCACCCGGCACACGUGACAAACGAAACGGAAAACAGCCAGUUCAAACAAGUAAAGGGAUGAGAGAGAACAUACAGAGAGUACUGGUGAGACAGAUGGAAAGCAACUUCUGAGCUCGCCGACUGAAACCCACACAUGUCAGAAUUACACGAACACAAAUUACUUAAUAUUCCAAUGAAGAGUCAAAAAUGACCUUGCUGGCAAAACCCACAAAGUAGCAACCCCCACCCCAAACCCAACUAUAUUCCCCCGACAGUAUUCAUGUACAAGACGCAAAGAUACAGACAGGCGGAAACUUCAGAGGAAAAAGAGACCAGGAAAAUAGACCAUAAGACAGUGUGUGUGUGUGUGUGUGAUUAUAUUAGUCAAAGAUCUUAAGCCCAAAAUACCAGUAGUGAUAAAAGGAGACAUUUCAAAUGAUAAAAACUUGAUUCGACAGAAAAUUAUCACAAUUUAGAAUUUGUAUGUACCAAGUAUUAUGCUUCAAAAAUAUGAAACAACAGAGUUCCCUGGUGUCUCUGUGGGUUAAGGAUCUGGCAUUGUCACUACAGUGGCUUGGGUCACUGCUGUGCCACUUGUUUGAUCCCUGGCCUGGGAACUUCUGUAUACUGCGGGGGGCACGGCCAAAAAAAAAGAAAAAAAAAAAAAAAAAGAAAAAAGAAAAAAAGAAAUGAAAAUGAACAGAUCUAUUGGGGUCAACUGACCCUCGAGUAUAGCAGAAAGAUUUGGGUACCAGUCUUACAGGAACUGAAAGAGCAUGGACAUAAAAAUAAAAUCAGGAAGACGUGGAAGAUUUGGCCACCUUGCCCCAAACUCUACUUAACUGACAGGUUAGAAUACUGCCCCCAAAUAACCACAGAGCACACAGUCUUUCAAAUACACUCAGAUAUAAAAUCGACAGCUUGUUGGACCAUUAAGUCAAGACUCCACAGAUUUCAAAGGGCUGAAAAUCACAAUGGAUUGAGCUAGACAGAAAAACAA
rnacentral:lncRNA from 9 species